GAUCCUGCUCCUGUCUGCCUUGUCAUGCUCAUUUCCUGCUCCUGUCAGUCUUGCCCUGCUCAUUGCCUCUGCCCCUCCCGUCACAGAAAACACAAUCAAGCUCAUUCAUGACACCUGCCUCCCACAGUAUAUAGCUCUGCUCCAGUCUCCUGUUCCUUGCCAGAUUAUCACUAGCCUGUCUAUGAUCUUCCAGCUAUUUUGUUCCUUGUUCCUCUCUUGCCUUGUGUCCCCGACCCUGCUCAUGUCUCUUGGACCCACGUCUCCUGCCUCAGUCCCUGUCGGAUCCUCCUUGUCAUCUGUUCUCCUGGUAACGACCCUGUUUCUGUUUUUCGGACCCACGUCUCCUGCCUCAGCCCCUGUCGGAUCCUGCCUGUCUUCUGCUCACCUGGUAACAACACUGGUUCUGUUUAUUGGAUUAUCGCCUCACGUCUCGCCCCUGAACGGAACCUCGCCAUCUCUGAUCUCCUGGAACUCAACCUCGGAACCCAUCCCUGGAUCCUCGACUCAGCCUGUCCCAUUCAACUUGGUAACGAUCUCUGACCACRUGUGUUUGACCCCCGCUUGUUUUUGGACCACGAGAAAACCCCGCAGCAGCAUCAACACCGCCCGGAACCAAAACUCAGCAGUUGAUGUUUCCACUCGGAUCCAACCCAUCCAGAGAAGCUCGAUCUGCUGAUCCCGGUAUCCAGUUCCCAAUGCUCAUUCUCAUAUUUAUUCAAUAAAUCUGUUAAACCUUU